UCAACAGCGCCGAACAAGACAAGGUGAAAGCUGAUUCGCUGGAAGCGAAAAACGUCACUUCCGUAAGUUCCUUAAGUACGUGAGACACACGUUACUCUGCCACUUUUUUUCUGGAUCGUUGGAGAGUAAGCAGCGUGAGCUUCUUUGGGACCUAAAAGCUUGUGGUUUUCUAUUUUAACCACUAGAUCAUUGAUUUUUUUUAAAUAAUCAUUUACUUUUUGGCAACCAAAGACUAACCUUUUUUUUGGUAAUGUGUCUUGAAUUUACAACAAUGAAAGGAAACUUCCAGAAGGACAUCAAGGCCGCGUCUGAUCUCAAGAAAAAGUGGUCAAAAUCAAAGAGGACUUUUCUGCGUGCAAAUAUGGGAGAAAGGAGGCGGAAGGUCCGCGUUUGGUCGGCCAGGAGACCCCAGUUGAGUCCGGGCCGUGUCGACGGUAACGUUAAAGCUAGCGCCACGCGGAAGCAAAGUCACGUACCGUCUGUAGCCAUGGCACCAGGAAACACAACACAGUAUCUAAUGGACCUGGUGUACGCUGACCUAUCAUAUGUUUGUGAUAUCUUUGGACUUCCAACAGAGAGACUUCGAGAACGUGUUCUACAGGAAUGAAAUCUGACGCGUUUCCGAAACCUGACUUGGACUUCGUCGGAAUGAGACGACUGGGUGGGCAGCCGUGAACGCAUAAGACAUAUAAUAAGUGCGUGCAAACAGUGCCUUCAUUGUUAGCCCUGUACAAAUAUGAAAUCGUAUCAGACAAUAUGUAUUGAAGCCAAGGCGUUCCAACACAAUGCUUUUGAGUUGCAUGUUACGAGUUGAAUGUGGUUUCAUUUGUCGGCUCUCCUUGUUCUCACAGCAUUGCGCAGACUCCAAGUCAGGAGGCGGAACGCUCUGCGUCACUGCUGCGUGAUGACGUGUACACCACGCCCCGCCGCCAGCAAGGCCGCCACCACGUGGCCAGCAGGUAAACACGCUCCACCCUUUGUGUACGCGGUGUAAGAGCGCUGCAGUAGCGUGUUGUCGCAGUGUAAUUGCUGAGAAAUGUGCAUGCAUUGUUCUGCCAACGGAUGCAUGUGUGUUUUGGGAGACUUUUACAGGUUUCUGAUCCUCCUCGGUGGAUCUCAGCUGUCUGUGCAACCCAUCCAGAGCCUUGGGAAAAGCCGCAUGGCUGCUUGCUCAUCGCUGCAGGGUAACUGUGGUAAAUGUUUGAAUGUAAAUCUACACGCACUCAGAGUUGCAACUCCUGUGAUCUGAUCUACUUUGAGAAAUUAUGUAAAUAUUGAUUGUAUUAAAUAUUAAAAUUUGUUAAUUAAGUUA